rnacentral:lncRNA from 1 species
UGAAUGACUGAUUAGAUUUGAGUAUUGCAUUCGCUUAGUUUGCAAUUUUGAAGACUGAAUUAGCCUUCGCUUAGUUGGGUGAUUCGUGUUGGAUUUGGAUUAGAGUAGUGUGUACAUGUCGUUGAUCUGGGAUAGGAAACAUUGUAAUUAAGUUAAUGACCAACCGUCUCCAGUCUGUCUUUGAACCUGUUUUUAGAUUUGUGUUUGCAUUUCCGUUUGCGUCAGUGUUUUGAUUUUAUUCAUCCGCAUUCACAAACUUUUCAACAACCCCCCCACUUCUUGUCUGACCUAAUUUUUGAACCACAUUUUGGUCCUUGAGAGACGACCUAGGAGUCACUUCCUAGCUAUACUGCAUUUCUUAUAUGCUCAUUAAAUUUUGCAUGGGGUGCGACCUCCAUCAAAUUUUGGCGCCGUUGUCGAGGACCAACGGUUCGGUUUUAGGUCUUUGUUGUGUUAGUGUGUGUUUGGUUUUGUCUCGUGUUGUGAGUGUGUCAUUUUGUUUGUGUGGUGUCAUGUGUUGUUUCAUUUAGGUAGCUUUAGUUGCAUUCUUCUUUUCCCCCUUUCUUUCUACAUGUCCACCUAUUUUGGUUAUCUGGAUAUUACUUCUUCUGCCUAUGCCUAUGAUUAUGAUUAUACUCCUGCAUGUUACUCUGAUUAUGGUUCUCUUGCUGAUUUUUAUGCUGAGAACAAUAUGACUCAUCCUCUGACUCAUGAGAGUGCUCUUUGGGAUCC